rnacentral:rRNA from 1 species
UACGUAGGGGGCGAGCGUUGUCCGGAAUCACUGGGCGUAAAGCGCACGUAGGCGGCUUUUUAAGUCAGGGGUGAAAUCCUGGAGCUCAACUCCAGAACUGCCUUUGAUACUGAGAAGCUUGAGUCCGGGAGAGGUGAGUGGAACUGCGAGUGUAGAGGUGAAAUUCGUAGAUAUUCGCAAGAACACCAGUGGCGAAGGCGGCUCACUGGCCCGGUACUGACGCUGAGGU